CCCUCUAGCGGCUGGCCGCCGCUCUAGUCCGCCCGCGCGGCGCGGCCGUAGUGUGGCCGUGCGUCCGCCGUCUUUCGUCGAGUUGUGCGCCGGAGGAGCCCGUCACAGCGAGGCGUCAGCACGGAUCCAGGCCCCGUGCGUUCGGGUGGCAGCGCGCGUAGCUGCUGAGGUCGGCGGGCGGCGGUCGGCGGCGCUCUGACACGGUUACGGGUACGGGGGCGGCGACAGCUGCCGAGAGGUCGCCGGCCCACUGCACUUCAGGAUAAUACUUUGGACGGCGAGCGUCGCAAGAUCGGCGGAGAUGGCGGCCGACGGCUGCUCGGCGAUCCCGUGCCUUUACCGCAUUACCGCGACGGCCACAGGUGUACCCUUCCCCGGCUUCCAGAACCCCUCCCGGCACGCGCCCGUCCCGUUUGGUAGUGGGCGCCUCUGCGACGUCCCCCCUCACCCAUCCCCGUCCCUCGCCGUCCCCUGCCGUGGCGUUCCGAAUGCUGUGCCUGAUCCUAACGUGAGUUUCCCGACGCUGUGCCUGCAUGCAAGAGUUGGCCCGUGCCCUGCGUCUGGUCGGAGCAGUGGCAUCACCGUGCUUUCAGUUGUUUGUUGCUGAGCGCUUGUAUACGUUAAAUAAUACAUGUUAUCUACCUUUA